GGCACAGAAGCCGAAGUGGUCUAGGCGCCUGGCUGAAAACCAGGAGAAUGCGGUUCGAUUCCGCGCUGUGCCA
rnacentral:tRNA from 1 species